UUAGGAAUCUUGCACAAUGGGCGAAAGCCUGAUGCAGCGACGCCGCGUGAGCGAAGAAGGCCUUCGGGUUGUAAAGCUCUGUCAUCCGGGACGAAACUAACGAGGGGGAAAGUUCCUCGUUAUUGACGGUACCGGGAGAGGAAGCACCGGCUAACUACGUGCCAGCAGCCGCGGUAAUACGUAGGGUGCGAGCGUUAAUCGGAAUUACUGGGCGUAAAGCGUGCGCAGGCGGUUCUAUAAGACAGAUGUGAAAUCCCCGGGCUUAACCUGGGAACUGCGUUUGUGACUGUAGGACUUGAGUGUGGCAGAGGGGGGUGGGAUUCCACGUGUAGCAGUGAAAUGCGUAGAGAUGUGGAGGAACACCGAUGGCGAAGGCAGCCCCCUGGGUCAACACUGACGCUCAUGCACGAAAGCGUGGGGAGCAAACAGG
rnacentral:rRNA from 1 species